rnacentral:rRNA from 1 species
CGCGUAGGCGGCUUUGCAAGUCCGUUGUGAAAUCCCUCGGCUCAACCGAGGAACUGCGACGGAUACUGCUUAGCUUGAGUCCCGGAGAGGGUAGCGGAAUUCCCAGUGUAGCGGUGAAAUGCGUAGAUAUUGGGAGGAACAUCGGUGGCGAAGGCGGCUACCUGGACGGGUACUGACGCUGAGGCGCGAAAGCUAGGGGAGCAAACA